AGUGAACGCUGGCGGUAGGCCUAACACAUGCAAGUCGAACGGCAGCACAGUAAGAGCUUGCUCUUACGGGUGGCGAGUGGCGGACGGGUGAGGAAUACAUCGGAAUCUACUUUUUCGUGGGGGAUAACGUAGGGAAACUUACGCUAAUACCGCAUACGACCUACGGGUGAAAGCAGGGGAUCUUCGGACCUUGCGCGAUUGAAUGAGCCGAUGUCGGAUUAGCUAGUUGGCGGGGUAAAGGCCCACCAAGGCGACGAUCCGUAGCUGGUCUGAGAGGAUGAUUCGCCAAACUGUAACUGGGACAAGGUCCAAGAACCUACGGGAGGCAGCAGUGGGGAAUAUUGGACAAUGGGCGCAAGCCUGAUCCAGCCAUACCGCGUGGGUGAAGAAGGCCUUCGGGUUGUAAAGCCCUUUUGUUGGGAAAGAAAAGCAGCAGGUUAAUACCCCGCUGUUCUGACGGUACCCAAAGAAUAAGCACCGGCUAACUUCGUG
rnacentral:rRNA from 1 species